rnacentral:tRNA from 1 species
AAAGGCUUAGGAUAGAACCACAAGACCGGAGGCCUUCAAAGCCCCAAGCAAGAGUGAAAACCUCUUAGCCUUUG